rnacentral:rRNA from 1 species
GAUGAACGCUGGCGGCGUGCCUAAUACAUGCAAGUCGAGCGAAGCGGGGACGGGUGAGUAACACGUGGAUAACCUCCUAUAAGACUGGGAUAACUUCGGGAAACCGGAGCUAAACCGGAUACUUAGAAAUGGAUACGCGCUGCAUUAGCUAGUGGGUAAGGUACCGGCUUACAAAGGCAACGAUGCAUAGCCGACCUGAGAGCGUGAUCGGCCACACGGGAACUGCGACCGGUUCCAGCCUCCUACGGGAGGCAGCAGUAGGGAAUCUUCCGCACUGGGCGAAAGCCUGACGGAGCAACGCCGCGUGAGUGAGGAAGGUCUUCGGAUCGUAAAACUCUGUUAUUAGGGAAGCGGUACCUAAUCAGAAAGCCACGGCGAACUACGUGCCAGCAGCCGCGGUAAUC